rnacentral:lncRNA from 1 species
AGCCUUGGGAGGGCCAUGUCAGGGGCUGGGGGAACACAGGGAGAGCGAUUCGGGGAGUGGCUUGGGGAACGGCUGGGUGAUCGGGGUGGCUUGGGCAGAGGUGGGGGACAGAAGUCCAGGGGAGUGAGUGCCAGGCUCUGAAGGACCCUGGCCCACAUCCAAGGGCAAGGUCUGGGGUGGCCGUGGCAAAACAGGAUCCU